GAUGAACGCUGGCGGCGUGCCUAAUACAUGCAAGUCGAGCGAACGGACGAGAAGCUUGCUUCUCUGAUGUUAGCGGCGGACGGGUGAGUAACACGUGGAUAACCUACCUAUAAGACUGGGAUAACUUCGGGAAACCGGAGCUAAUACCGGAUAAUAUUUUGAACCGCAUGGUUCAAAAGUGAAAGACGGUCUUGCUGUCACUUAUAGAUGGAUCCGCGCUGCAUUAGCUAGUUGGUAAGGUAACGGCUUACCAAGGCAACGAUGCAUAGCCGACCUGAGAGGGUGAGCGGCCACACUGGAACUGAGAAACGGUCCAGACUCCUACGGGAGGCAGCAGUAGGGAAUCUUCCGCAAUGGGCGAAAGCCUGACGGAGCAACGCCGCGUGAGUGAUGAAGGUCUUCGGAUCGUAAAACUCUGUUAUUAGGGAAGAACAUAUGUGUAAGUAACUGUGCACAUCUUGACGGUACCUAAUCAGAAAGCCACGGCUAACUACGUG
rnacentral:rRNA from 1 species